GCGUGGCGGGGCGCGCGUGUCUCCCCGCGGGCCGGCGCGGCGCGGCGGGGGCGGGGGCGGGGGGCGCGGGGUCCCGCGGCCGCGGGCUGCCGCGGCGGAGCCCCGGUGCCGCUCCGCCCGGGACAGUCGGUGCCGCCGCCUUGGGCGCAGGUAUUAAAAGUUCUGCUCUCCGUCAGAGGGGUAUAAGUACUGAGACUCCCAGGAUGUAAGAAAUACAGUGCUGUGUCAUGCAGCUGACAGGUCUACUGGCAGAGCUGAUGGUCACAGCCGGGGCGGAAAUUCUUCAUUAAAACAAAAAACCAGAGUAAAGUAAUUGAGGAAGGUUGGAGCCACUUGUAAGAUUUAUUGAAUUGAUUGCUCACCCUGUCAAAAAAAAAAAAAAAAAAAAAAGGUCAUCGUUUGGGACGACAGCACGCUGCCAGCAGGUGCCAUGGCUAGCAAAAGAAAGUCGACGACUCCCUGUAUGGUGCGAACCUCUGAAGUCGUGGAGCAGGAAGGCACUGAGGGCGUAGAGGCUCCCAAAGAGAAGGGGGCUGGCACACCGCAGCAGGACUCUAAAAAAACCUGGCCUUCAGAAAGCUCAGUCAAGGACUGCGAAGUGGUUGAGGCAAAGCCCCCAGCUGAAAACCAGUCUAAGAAACCGCAGGGUGGUUAUGAGUGUAAAUACUGCCCUUACUCAACGCAAAACUUAAAUGAAUUCACAGAGCAUGUUGACACUCAGCAUCCAAACGUCAUUCUCAACCCUCUGUACGUCUGUGCUGAAUGCAACUUCACAACCAAAAAAUAUGAUUCUUUAUCUGACCACAACGCGAAAUACCACCCAGGAGAGACCAACUUUAAACUGAAAUUAAUUAAACGCAAUAAUCAGACUGUUCUAGAGCAAUCCAUUGAGACCACCACUAACGAUGUCGCUGUCACAAGCAGUGGCAUAGAAAAUGCAGAGUGUGAGGAUUCACUUCACGGGGGAAUUAGUGCCAGUAAAACACCAAUGAUGAAACUGGGGAAGCCUAAAGGGGAAACCAAGAAGGGACCUAAAAAGCCAGAAGAGGGAGUCGCGGAAAACCACGUGGAUGGCACUCUCCCCCGCAUCAUAACUGAAGCCACUGAAGCUAUUGCCUGUAUAAAUGGAGACCUUCUCCAUGACGUGUUAGCCCACGUUAUGCCCUCUGUACAGCUGCCACCAAAUAUUAACCUUGUCCCCAAGGUGCCGGUACCUCUGAACAGUACCAAAUACAACUCUGCACUGGACACUAACGCAACCAUGAUCAACUCCUUUAAUAAAUUCCCUUACCCAACGCAAGCAGAGUUGUCUUGGUUGACAGCAGCAUCAAAACACCCGGAAGAACAAAUCCGAAUCUGGUUUGCUACGCAGCGCUUGAAGCAUGGUAUAAGUUGGUCUCCUGAAGAAGUGGAAGAGGCAAGAAAGAAGAUGUUCAACGGUACUAUCCAGGCGGUUCCCCAAACCAUCACUGUCCUGCCAGCUCCUUUGACAACUGCAAAAAUGCCCCAGCCCAUCAUCCAGACGGCUUUGCCUUGUCAGAUACUGGGCCAGACCGGUCUGGUUUUGACUCCCGUGUCAAAUGGUUCAACUGUUUCCUGUUCACCAAUUACACUUGCUGUUGCCCCCAACCAGGGGCAAAAGAGGACGAUACAGACCUUAUCAAGUGCCCCAGAGGCCAAGCGUCCUCAUGUAGUUCAGGUGCCUGAAAUUCCUGCCAAGCUGACGGCCGUACCCCUGACGCCAGCCAGCGAGCGAAAAAAGACCAAGGAGCAGAUAGCGGAGCUGAAGGCUAGUUUCAUGGCAAGCCAGUUUCCCGACGAUGCAGAGGUCUACCGGCUGAUACAGGCGACGGGUCUCUCCAGGAGCGAGAUCAAGAAGUGGUUCAGUGACCACAGGUACAGAAGUCAAAGGGGCAUUGUGCAUAUUCCUGGCGAUCCUUUAGGGAAAGAUCAAAUAGCACCUUCAGCUGGUCGGCACGGCCGUUCGUUCCACCCAUACACAGAUUUUACUCCCCAGAGGUUCAAAGAGAAAACACAGGAGCAGCUUAGGGCCCUUGAGGAGAGUUUCCUAAGAUGCUCUUUUCCUACCCAAGGAGAAUUGGACAGGCUUCGAGUAGAGACUAAGCUGAGUAGGAGGGAGAUAGAUUCCUGGUUUUCUGAGCGGAGAAAGAUAAGGGACAGCAUGGAGCAAGCUGUCUUGGACUCAAUGGGAUCAUACAGAAAAAUUAAAGAACAAGGAACUCCCAAUGGUGCAAUAAGCCAGGCAGAACUGCUGAGUAGCUCUCAGCUCCCUGGUGCUUUAUCUGGAUCCUCCACCACACUGAAGAAAACCCAGGAGCAGAUUCAUCUCCUGAAAAGCACGUUUGCAAGGACCCAGUGGCCGUCACCCCAGGAGUACGACCAGUUAGCAUCUCAGACUGGGCUCACAAGAACUGAAAUAGUUCGCUGGUUCAAGGAAAACCGGUCUUCACUAAGAAUGGGGUCGCUUAAAUGGAUUGACCAGUACCAGCAGCAGUAUGCUGCUGAUGGACAUAACGACCAAAGCCAGAAAAAGGGCUCAAAACACUUUGAGAGUUCAAAGAACAGUAGUGAGGUGUCUCGGCAGCAUUACCAGGAGCAUAAAAAGCUGAAUGAAGAGAAUGGGGGGAAACUAGUGGUGAGAGCAAAAAGAGACUGUGAACCGCUGAAAGACUCUUUGUUGGGGAAUCAAGCGGAGGGUAUGGACAGGUUGGAGUGCAACAGCCACGACGGCCACGGCAGCGAGGAGAACGAGGAGCCAGCGGAGGUCAGUUGGGUGGAGGUGACAGUGGGUGAGGAUGACGCUGCAUCGGACUGUACAGACAGCUGGAGCCAAACGGCACCCGAAGGCCAGGCAGAGCUGGCGGACUUUGACUCUGAAAGUAUAUCUGGAGACAAUUCCCACGUAUAGACAGGUAAUGCUGAUGGUGCCCUGUUUCUCUGAGCCUGCCUCUGUCUGGGUGUGCUUCCAGCAUCCUGUAGCCCCUCUUCGGUAUAAAUCCCUGGAGCCCAUCCCUGCCGGAUCCUUGUGCCUGCUGGAUGCCUGAACAAAAGGGAGAUCCUUCCUGCUUGUAAAUUAAAGCAACUGCUUGGUAGGGGAGGGGUUAGUGCUGUUUGCCUUGUUUCUUGUCUCCUUGUGGGUCAAGUCCUGGAUAAGGGAGAUAUUUUUUUUUAUUAUUUUUAUUCUUUCUUGGUUUUGUGGCAAUAAGUGACUAAACCUUUAACUUUCUGCCUUUGGGUGACAUAUGUCACCUCCGCAGCACUUGGUGUGAAAAGUACCAGCAGAGCUACACAAAGAAAUAGUGACACUAGUUACUAAUAUGCCCCUUGCUAACACAUCAUUGAUCUCCCAUGAAUAGAUCCUGUGACCGUUUUUGCACCUUGGGUCCUUCCUUUGCAGCAUCCUGCCCUGCUCAGAAUAAAAGGUCACUGGGGGAAGGGCCCAGGACAGAUACUGUUCUUUAUGCAACAGCGAGGGGAAAAAAAAAAAAAAAAAAAAAAAAAGUUGUGGGGAUUAAAGUGGCUCAUGCAAAUGUGCUCUCUUCCUCUUGCAGGUGAGAAGGUCUCCAACCUGGCUUUGUUCUGCCUGCUCACUCUAGAGGCUUAGGAAGUGCCCCAGACUAAGUUGUGUGGGUGUUUUAGCAGCUAUUCUUCACAGGAUCUUGAAUUUAAAAGCAAGCUGCAGGGCUUUUCUUUAAGGGGGUUUUAUGCAAUCUUUCACCACGUGAAAGGAUAUGUUAUUUGGAGACCUGAAGCCUGUUUCUGAUCACAGUUGCACAGGUAUAAAUCUGGAGCAAGCACCGUCAGCAUUUCUUGACUCACAUGGUAAAUUGAGUUCAUUGGAGCCUGUAACAUUUUGUGCUCAGUAUAACUGAGCCUGUCUCUCCCAAAACGGAGUCUCCUUAAGCUAGAACAUCAUGCAUUAACAACCACAGUGAGAAAGCACCUGGUUGAGAAAGAGUAGUCUUCUGGUGUGUAAUAAGUAUAAUGUACUUUAGCUUUUUUUUUUUUUAAAAAAAAAAAGUAUAAACAUUAGAUAAUAAGAAAAUACAAAAGCCAGGGCUGAUGGAAGUCCCUCCACGCUUGUACUGAAGACUUUUACUGUUGCAGCUCCUAUCUGGUGCAGAGGUGCAGUUUUCCUUAGCAAGCCCUGCUGGCUAGCCAGGAGCCUUCCAUUUUUUUCCUGUGCAGUACUUGUCCAGAAGUAUUCUGGACAGUUUCUCAUGAGUUGAAAAGGGAAAUCCUGCAGUGGUUUUAUUUUGAACUAUGAAUUGUGUCAGCUAACUUUGAGAACUGUUUACACACCAUCUGUAUCGCGGAGUAUCUUAACGCUCCAGACUGCAGUGCAAGGCACUGUCCUGCAUUGUGCUUACACAAGUUGGUGAUUAGGGAUGUUGAUGAGCAGGUUGUGUUAAAAGGCAGAGAUUAAAGGGGGAAGGACAUGGGAACAUCAGCUGGAGGCAGGCACGCUGCAGUGCCACUGUUGUACAGCCACAUCAGAAAGGAGAGCCAGGAUCUGAUCUGCCUUUUAAAAUCAAAUGCACAAUGAAUAAAUGCAUUGUGGAAUUUUAAUUUUUUUUUUCCCCAGGGUUGUUAUUCCAGAUCAUUUCCCCUGUCUGGCUAUAAAUGUUCAUAUUGAGGAGAGGGAACAGACCAGGUGCUAGGAGAGGGAAUGGGGAGGAGGGUGGGAGAGGGAGGAUUGCCUGAAAUCACUGUUUCUUACAAACCUUUUGUACCAUGAAACCAAGCUCUGCAACAACCAUCUUCCAGCAGCCUAGGUUUGGCGCCUGCAUUUUUGUGCUUGUGAGCAGUGUUGGGCACAUUGGUGUGCCCCUCCUUCCUCUGUGCGCUGAGAUGCUGACCGUAAAGCCCCAGGGCUGUGGAGGUGCUCAAGUGUUAUCAGAGAGGAAUUUUAGUAAGAACUUUGAUGUCAGUUAAACUUCUGCUGUGUUAUCCUCCUGAUGAGGAGCUUUCCAGUGGCUAGUCGUAAAAUACACCUACUGAGAAGAGAUGAGCUGGAGCAGGGCUUUUGCUGCGAAGACCAUGCAGGAAGAUCAGAGGACCGUUUUGUCCCCUGCUCUUUGCCCAUUUCUCAGCAUGCUGGCCUGGGGACUUGACAAAAGCCCAAAGUCUUUUUCAUUUUCAUCUGUUCUCCCUGUAAGUCUCAGCCCAGAAAUGCAAGUGCCUGCUCUCUGGUGCCGGUGUGAAAGCUGUGUCACAGGUGUGACACAAAAGCUGGAAGCUUUAUACCCCACACUGCCGGGACCUGUGGAGAAGUCCCAGCUACUGGCUCCUCUUUCCUUCAGAAUAAGCUUUCACUCUCAUCCUUGUGAAGCCUAUCUGACAUAAUUUUUAAAUAUAACUUCGGUGGUAAAUUAACAAGGCAUUAGUGACCUCUGGGGUAUGACUCAAAAGCAAAGACUGUGCACAACCAGAAGAUGCCUGUUGUCAUAUAAAAGUCUGAUUUAUUUAUUUUUCUUAACGUCAUACUCCUUAGUACCUUAGAGGGGUUGUGUCACUGUCUUGGCCACACGUAAGAGGUGGACAAAAGAGCUGACAAGGGUCUUCUCUUCCUCUUGACCCUCUCACAGCCACAGUUACUUGAAACUCUCACUGCUGAACUGAUGGGGCAGAAGCACGCUGCUUUGAUAUUCAUGGGGUUGCUAUUUUCUCAGCUUGAUGUACAUAGUUUGAAGUGAAUGUUUCCUGAUGAUUGAUCUCCAUACGCCUGCUGUUGACUGAAUUUUUUUGCAGCUUCUGUAAAAUCCGAGCUGUUGCAGGCGAUGUUGGUCACUCUUUGCUCUGGGGUACUCCUCAGCUGCACUGUCCUGACGUUGAAGGGGAAAUCCUGUCUGAAAAUAGAAGAAAACUCUAUUUUCCUGCCUGGGGUGAGAUAGCGUGUUGCGACUCCAAGUCUCAGACCGCACUUGCUCUCGUGGAGCAUCAUCAUGGGAUCAUUUAUAGUGCCAAAGUCCUACUACUGCAUUAAAAAAAAAAAAAGAAAGAGGAAAGGGUUCUUGUACAUAAGUUUCUCCUCCGCUUUUCUCCCACCCACUUUCCUGCCCAACCUCUUCCUCUACUGGAACAGAUUUAUACAAUGUGGAAAUUUUGUUAACUUUUUAAUAGGUGCAAGUUACUCUUGCAUAUGAUGCCAUUGCAAAAUUUGGGGGUUGGUUUGGGGGAGGAAAGUGUCUUGUGGGGGAGGGAGAGGAGAUUUUUUUAUUAUUAUUAUUAUUUUUCUGAAGCGUUUUGAGACAGAUUUGCAGUCUUUUGGAGUCUUGUUGGUGCGGAUCAAUGUCUGAGCCCAGAUCCCCACCCCGGUUUACAUUUCAGCCCACUUAAACGCAUUACGGGGUUGGGAAGGGUCAUUCUGGAGUGGUUGGGGUUUGUUGUUUUUUCUUCUUCUUGUUUUGACUUUUUUGUUUUGUUUUAUGGCCACUUCCUACUGGUUGAAGUAUUUAAUUCUCUGCUUUUCCAUGCUCCUACAAGGCAAGUCUUCUCUAGCUCCUGUAUUUCACUUUUCACAAGCCAGCCCCAGCUGUGGGUCUCUUAAGAUUUGGCAAGAAUGCCUUUUUUUUUGUUGGGUUUUUUUUUUUUAGCACUUUUUGUUUAAACAUGCCAUACAACCCCCAGGGGGGUUGGAGUGAGGAAAUUAAGAUGCUUCAUAGUCUGAACUCGUUUGUGUUUCUUCAGCUGGUACAAUGAUGGACACCAUAACCACCAGUCUGCCCUCCAGCUUUAGAUGUUGUAGCGCACAACAGAAAUUUCUGAUUAACCUCUGCCACUAAAUUUUUUUAGAUCAAUCCUAGGUUCCCGAGUGCACUUUUUUUUUUUUCCCCCAAAUACUGCUAAUUGGAUUUGUGUGGGGGUGUCUGUCUGUGCAUGUGUGAGGAGGAGGAGGAGGGAGAGCAGGAGCGUGCGUGUGUAGACGAGCGGGUGCAAGAGCUGUCCGGUGCAUUCCUCUGACGAGCUGGGUUUGGAAAACUUACCCACCUUUCAAGUACACUGCACAAAGAGGAUGCUAGGGAGUUUGAAUAAAUCCAACUUUUCUAACUUGUUGCUCAUUUGUUGUAACUCAAUAAAACAAAGACUAAACAUUUUGGUAA